ACUUGUGCUGCCCAAGACAGCCUCGCCGCAGGUCUGGACUGCUCAGCUCUGUUGUGUGACAGAGAAGUAAACCUCCAUCUGUUGAAGCCACUUUGGAUUCCUCUGAUACAGCCUCUUAGAACAUAUACGGCCAUCUGCAGCACAGAGCCAUGGUACAGCUUUCUCUGAUUUCCUUCCUGUGUGGACCUAUUAUGAGAGAACAGUGUGCAAGUUCUACUCUGCAACCUGGAGCAAAGCAUCCAUCAAUGUGAGGCACCUGGAUCAGCCUGUGCUACUGCAAAGCCUCUUAACUGGCCUCCUCGCUCUUACUCUUGCCUCCCACAUUAGAGUGGGUUUUUUAAGAUGUAAAUUAUAUUAGGCCAUUCCCUGCUUAAAGCCUUCUAGUGACCUCCCUUUGCAGUUGGAACAAGAGUCCAACUCCUCCCAGUGACCUGGGUUGCUAUCAUGAUCCGCCUGCUCACCUCUCUGCACUGUCCCCUUUACUUCUAAUCCAGCCCAGUUGCCUUCUGGCUGGUCCCCCAGUGCAUCACACUGGUUCCCCACUGUGUCACCAUUACACUUGGCCACACCACUUCCCCUGCUGAGAUUAGUCUCCCUGAACAGCUUGGCUUGUCCUCACCUUUCACAUCCCAAUGUCACCUCCAGUGGGGAUGUGGGGGGGGGGGUGUGGGCUGCUCCCCCAUUCUAAAACAACCCACCCCUAGUCCUUGGGGGGCACUUUCUCCUGUUGGUUUUCAUCACAGCACAUCAUUCUGCAGUUAUCUUGUUUACUUGUUUACCUGUUUAUUCGGUUUCUCCUCCACUGAAAUGCAAGCCGCAGUUAAAUGGGACCCUUCUCAAUGCGUUCCCCGCUUCUCCCUGGUGCUGAGUGGACAGUUCAUCGUCCAUGGUAGAUACACGGUCAAAACUUGGAUGAAGGCGUCUCCCUGACUGGCCACAACAUCUUUGAAGCCCUCAAUGCAGAGGUGGCUGUGCUGGAGCACAGCAGGGGCGGCCCUGGUGGAGUCCAUGCUGAGCUGCCCUGCUGGCGGGCUGGUCUCUCAGGCUGCUAGGAGAGCUGCCCUUGGUCUUGGAUACCUUUGUCUUUGCUUGGGUGUCCCCAUGCUUGUCUCCACUGGCCACUUGUUAGGUGAGAGGACCCCGGGUGUCACCUGAUGUUGGGAGAAAGGAACGCUUCCUGCAGAGACCGGGCGAGCCUUUCCCCAGUGCAGCCCCAACACCCAGCAGCCCCUUCUGCCUGCGUGGAGCAAGCCCUUCUGUUGAGACAGUUGUGAAGGUUACUCGGAUUUGAUCAGUGCAUAUGCUGUGCACCUGUGUAGAAAUAUCACACUGCACCUCUUAAAUAUACACCAUCAUUUCAUGUCAAUCAAAAUUUUAAUAAAUGUAUAUUUCAGCAUUUCUCAUAUAUUUUAAAUGUUCUCACCACCAAGGAACAAUAAGUAUGUGAAGGGAUAGUUAAUUAACUUGAUUUACUCAUUCAACAGAGUCUACGUGUGCCACAUCCCAUUGUACCCCAUAAACAUAA
rnacentral:lncRNA from 1 species